UCCCCUUCAGAUUGAGAACAAAAAUGGCGCAUUCCUUUAUCUUCACAAAAGAAGAACCAGCGAAGAGGGCACAAUCAGAUAGAGACCAAAAAAGAGAGAGACUCUCGAACCAAAAAGAAAAAAGCGUUGUUCUUCAAUCUUCCUCCCGAUCUCUCUCGAUUGAACACAAAAACGGACUUCAUACUCUUCGCUUCAACACCCAGUAACGACCACACAAACGCCCCCAUCGUAAAAUCAUCAAACCAACCCCAAAUGGCCAUGAAACUGACCAAAAUUCCAGCGAAAAAUAACACCCAAAAACAGCUCCAAAUCCGGAAUCGAACCCAGAUUUGAGACUUCUAAAAGGACUCCAAAAAACACAAAAUAAAGAAAAACAGAGAUAAAGAAAAAAGAGAGAUCUUCGAGCUCGAUGAAGUUGUAGAACUUGGCUCGAAGCUGUUUUUCGGAUUUUUCUUCCCUUGGUUUGUUACUGUGUUGUUGUUGUACCUGCUAUAUUUGUGGAUUUUCUCUUUGCUUUGCUGAGUUCCAUAUCAUUCAACGUCCACUGUAUUCCGUUUCUUCUAUCUUUCUUAAAGAUCCAGGUACACCACAGGCUGAGUGAGGAUUUGUUUAGUUGAGCAGCAGUAUCCGAGAGUAUUGAGAUGGCGAGGACUCAUUCUACUGGACGAGGUGGACGACCACCAGCGCCACCCACUGAUGCCACCAGAAGCCGUGGACGCGGUCGUGGGCGUGGCAGAGGUAGAGUAGCGCGGGUAGCACCUGUUAAUCCACCAGCUUCCCCAGUUCCAGAUCAGGCUCCAGCAGCUGUAC